AGCAACUGAGGAGAAGUUAGAAAGGGCACACGGUGGAUGCCUUGGCGCCAGGAGCCGAUGAAGGACGGGGCGAACACCGAUAUGCCCCGGGGAGCCGUAAGCGGGCUUUGAUCCGGGGAUUUCCGAAUGGGGCAACCCACCGGCGGCGAACCGCCGGUACUCCUGCCUGAAUCCAUAGGGCAGCGAGAGGCAGACCGGGGGAACUGAAACAUCUUAGUACCCCGAGGAAGAGAAAGAAACCUCGAUUCCCCGAGUAGCGGCGAGCGAAACGGGAGAAGCCCAAACCGAAGGGAUUCCCCUUCGGGGUUGUGGGGCGUCCUGUAUGGAGUCAGAAAAGCGAAGCGUAGGCGAAGUGGCCUGGAACGGCCCGCCAGAGACGGUAACAGCCCGGUAGCCGAAACGCUUCGCUCUCCGGGACGGACCCCGAGUACCACGGGACACGUGAAACCCCGUGGGAAUCCGGGAGGACCACCUCCCAAGGCUAAAUACUCCCUGGCGACCGAUAGUGAACCAGUACCGUGAGGGAAAGGUGAAAAGCACCCCGGGAGGGGAGUGAAAAAGAACCUGAAACCGUGUGCUUACAAGCAGUCGGAGCCCUCUUGAAGGGUGACGGCGUGCCUUUUGUAGAAUGAACCGGCGAGUGACGAUGGCCUGCAAGGUUAAGGCGAGAAGCCGGAGCCGCAGCGAAAGCGAGUCUGAACAGGGCGAGCCGGGUUCCCCAAAAAGUAAUUACUUUUUGGGGGUCCCUAGUAGGUCGUCGUCGACCCGAAACCGGGUGAUCUACCCAUGUCCAGGGUGAAGUUGAGGUAACACUCAAUGGAGGCCCGAACCCACCGAUGUUGAAAAAUCGGGGGAUGAGGUGUGGGUAGGGGUGAAAUGCCAAUCGAACCCGGAGAUAGCUGGUUCUCCCCGAAAUAGCUUUAGGGCUAGCCUCGGAACCGGAGUCGCGGAGGUAGAGCACUGAUUGGGCUAGGGGCCUGUCAAGGGUUACCGAACUCAGUCAAACUCCGAAUGCCGCAGACUCAUCAUCCGGGAGUCAGACUGCGGGUGCUAAGAUUCGUAGUCGAAAGGGAAACAGCCCAGACCACCAGCUAAGGUCCCCAAGUGCGUGUUAAGUGGGAAAGGAUGUGGAGUUGCUCAGACAACCAGGAUGUUGGCUUAGAAGCAGCCAUCAUUUAAAGAGUGCGUAAUAGCUCACUGGUCCAGGGACUCUGCGCCGAAAAUGUAACGGGGCUAAACACGCCACCGAAGCUGUGGACGCUGGAGGUUGGAAGUAAGAAGUUGGAGGUAAGAAGGGAUGAUUCGGAGCUUUCGUGAUUUCCGUGUGUAUCAGGCAUCUUAUAGUCUGGCACUCGAAGUACACAAAGCCACCCGAACCUUUCCGGACUUUGAGAAGUAUGAACUGGGAGCUCAAUUAAGGCGAGCUGCGGUUUCUAUACCGGCUAAUAUAGCUGAAGGGUAUGGGAAACGAAGGUCAACUGCUGAUUUUAAGCGCUUUAUAGGAAUUGCUCUUGGAUCAUGCAAUGAAGUCCAGGUUUACUUGGAUAUGGCUCAUGACCUCGGUUAUGUUGAUCAAGCUUUGUAUCAACGAUGGGAGCAGUCAUACAGUAAACUGGGCAGGCAACUUCACAGCCUGCUGGAUAAAUGGAAGUCCAACAUCUGACCUCUUACUUCUGACCUCCAGUGUGGUAGGGGAGCGUCCCCAGUGCAUCGAAGUCGUGUCGUGAGGCGCGGUGGAGUGCUGGGGAGUGAGAAUGCCGGUGUGAGUAACGAAAAGAGGGGUGAGAAUCCCCUCCGCCGAAAGCCUAAGGUUUCCUGAGGAAGGUUCGUCCGCUCAGGGUAAGUCGGGACCUAAGCCGAGGCUGAAAAGCGUAGGCGAUGGACAACAGGUGGAAAUUCCUGUACCACCUUCCGCCGUUUGAGUGACGGGGGGACGCAGGAGGGUAGGAGAUCGCGCUGUUGGAUAUGCGCGUCCAAGCGGUGAGGCUGAAGGGAGAGGCAAAUCCAUCCCUUUAAGGCUGGGCCGUGAUGGCGAGGGAAAUGACAGUACCGAAGUCUUUGAUCUCACACUGCCAAGAAAAGCCUCUAGCGAGGCGGAAGGUGCCCGUACCGCAAACCGACACAGGUAGGCGAGGAGAGAAUCCUCAGGCGCGCGGGAAAACUCUCGUUAAGGAACUCGGCAAAAUGACCCCGUAACUUCGGGAGAAGGGGUGCCCCGGCAGGGUGGUCUUCGGACUGCUCGAGGGGGCCGCAGUGAAUAGGCCCAAGCGACUGUUUAGCAAAAACACAGGUCUCUGCGAAGCCGCAAGGCGAAGUAUAGGGGCUGACGCCUGCCCGGUGCUGGAAGGUUAAGGGGAAGGGUUAGCACUCCCACCCCAAAAAGCACUACUUUUUGGGGACCCCGGGGGGAGCGAAGCUCUGAACCGAAGCCCCAGUAAACGGCGGCCGUAACUAUAACGGUCCUAAGGUAGCGAAAUUCCUUGUCGGGUAAGUUCCGACCCGCACGAAAGGCGUAACGACUUGGGCGCUGUCUCAACGAGAGACCCGGUGAAAUCGUAGUACCCGUGAAGAUGCGGGUUACCUGUGACAGGACGGAAAGACCCCGUGAAGCUUUACUGUAGCCUGAUAUUGGAUCUUGGUACGGUUUGUACAGGAUAGGUGGGAGCCGUGGAGUCCGGGCCGCCAGGUUCGGAGGAGGCACUGGUGGGAUACCACCCUGAUCGUGCCGGGGUUCUAACCGAGCACCGUGAUCCGGUGUCGGGACCGUGUCAGGUGGGCAGUUUGACUGGGGCGGUCGCCUCCUAAAGCGUAACGGAGGCGCCCCAAGGUUCCCUCAGCGCGGUUGGAAAUCGCGCGGUAGAGUGCAAAGGCAGAAGGGAGCUUGACUGCGAGACCUACAAGUCGAGCAGGGACGAAAGUCGGGCUUAGUGAUCCGGUGGUUCCGAGUGGAAGGGCCAUCGCUCAACGGAUAAAAGCUACUCCGGGGAUAACAGGCUGAUCUCCCCCAAGAGUCCACAUCGACGGGGAGGUUUGGCACCUCGAUGUCGGCUCGUCGCAUCCUGGGGCUGUAGUCGGUCCCAAGGGUUGGGCUGUUCGCCCAUUAAAGCGGUACGCGAGCUGGGUUCAGAACGUCGUGAGACAGUUCGGUCCCUAUCCGUCACAGGCGCAGGAAAUUUGAGAGGAGCCGUCCUUAGUACGAGAGGACCGGGAUGGACGCACCGCUGGUGUACCAGUUGUGUCGCCAGAUGCAUCGCUGGGUAGCCAAGUGCGGAAGGGAUAAGCGCUGAAAGCAUCUAAGCGCGAAGCCCCCCUCAAGAUGAGAUUUCCCAUCCUUUAUGGAGUAAGACCCCUCGAAGAUGACGAGGUAGAUCGGUCCGGGGUGUACGCGUGGCAACACGUUCAGCUGACGGAUACGAAUCGGUCGAGGACUUCUCCUGAAUUG
rnacentral:rRNA from 1 species